rnacentral:rRNA from 1 species
GGCAGGCUUACACAUGCAAGUCGAGGGGUAACGAUGGUGCUUGCACCAGGCGACGACCGGCGCACGGGUGAGUAACGCGUAUGCAACCUGCCUUUUACUGGGGAAUAGCUCCGAGAAAUCGGGAUUAAUGUCCCAUAAUAUCUUUUUGAGGCAUCUCAAAAAGCUUAAAGCUCCGGCGGUAAAAGAUGGGCAUGCGUGCCAUUAGUUAGUUGGUGAGGUAACGGCUCACCAAGACAGCGAUGGCUAGGGGGUCUAAAAGGAUGAUCCCCCACACUGGUACUGAGACACGGACCAGACUCCUACGGGAGGCAGCAGUGAGGAAUAUUGGGCAAUGGACGAAAGUCUGACCCAGCCAUGCCGCGUGCAGGAUGACUGCCCUAUGGGUUGUAAACUGCUUUUGUACGGGAAGAAAAGGACUUACGUGUAAGUAACUGACGGUACCGUACGAAUAAGCAUCGGCUAACUCCGUGCCAGCAGCCGCGGUAAUACGGAGGAUGCAGGCGUUAUCCGGAUUUAUUAGGUUUAAAGGGUGCGUAGGCGGGAUAGUAAGUCAGUGGUGAAAUCUUGCAGCUUAACUGUAAAAUUGCCAAUGAUACUGUUAUUCUUGAGUAUAGUUGAGGUGGGCGGAAUGUGUCAUGUAGCGGUGAAAUGCAUAGAUAUGACACAGAACACCGAUUGCGUAGGCAGCUCACUAAACUAUUACUGACGCUGAGGCACGAAAGCGUGGGGAGCGAACAGGAUUAGAUACCCUGGUAGUCCACGCCGUAAACUAUGAUUACUCGUUGUGUGCAAUACAUCGUACGCGACUGAGCGAAAGCAUUAAGUAAUCCACCUGGGGAGUACGUUCGCAAGAAUGAAACUCAAAGGAAUUGACGGGGGCCCGCACAAGCGGAGGAACAUGUGGUUUAAUUCGAUGAUACGCGAGGAACCUUACCUGGGCUUAAAUGCAGAACGACCGACUUCGAAAGAAGUCUUCCCUUCGGGGCGAUUUGCAAGGUGCUGCAUGGUUGUCGUCAGCUCGUGCCGUGAGGUGUCGGGUUAAGUCCCAUAACGAGCGCAACCCUCAUUGUUAGUUGCCAGCGGGUAAUGCCGGGGACUCUAACAAAACUGCCGGUGUAAACCGAGAGGAAGGUGGGGAUGACGUCAAAUCAGCACGGCCCUUAUGUCCAGGGCUACACACGUGUUACAAUGGCCAGUACAAAGGGCAGCUAUCUGGCAACAGAAUGCUAAUCUCCAAAAUUGGUCUCAGUUCGGAUCGGAGUCUGCAACUCGACUUCGUGAAGUUGGAUUCGCUAGUAAUCGCGCAUCAGCAACGGCGCGGUGAAUACGUUCCCGGGCCUUGUACACACCGCCCGUCAAGCCAUGGAAGCUUGGGGUACCUGAAGUCUGUAACCGCAAGGAGCGGCCUAGGGUAAAAC